CCUACGGGAGGCAGCAGUGAGGAAUAUUGGUCAAUGGGCGUAAGCCUGAACCAGCCAAGUCGCGUGAGGGAUGAAGGUUCUAUGGAUCGUAAACCUCUUUUGUCAGGGAAUAAAGUGCGGGACGUGUCCCGUGUUGUAUGUACCUGAUGAAUAAGGAUCGGCUAACUCCGUGCCAGCAGCCGCGGUAAUACGGAGGAUCCGAGCGUUAUCCGGAUUUAUUGGGUUUAAAGGGUGCGUAGGCGGCCUUUUAAGUCAGCGGUGAAAGUCUGUGGCUCAACCAUAGAAGUGCCGUUGAAACUGGCAGGCUUGAGUAUGUUUGAGGCAGGCGGAAUGCGUGGUGUAGCGGUGAAAUGCUUAGAUAUCACGCAGAACCCCGAUUGCGAAGGCAGCCUGCCAAGCCAUGACUGACGCUGAUGCACGAAAGCGUGGGGAUCAAACAGGAUUAGAUACCCCAGUAGUC
rnacentral:rRNA from 1 species